UCACGCCUCGUCUUUGAAGUUGGAUGUGAGUGCCGGUUUUUCCACCCUGAACUUGUUCUUCCUGCAGCCUCCAAGAGCAAAUCAUCCAAAUCCGCCAUUAUCUUCCGGGCCACACGGAAGAGUGCAAAAGAAAGAGCGGCGAUGUGUCCUGAACAGAAGAAGAAGAAGAAGACUUUGACUCCAUUUUGAAGCAAACCCCAUUAGAGCUAAUGGUGUGAAGCACAGCCACAGGUGGACACCUCUCACUGGAUUGCGAAAAAUGGCUUAUUCUGAUGUCCUUCAACUCAUCCAAGAUUUUCUUGUUGUUCAACUCUUCUGGGUAUACCUCUACCUCCCCAAGUAACUCUUCCCCUUUAUACACAAGCUUAAGCAUUUUCAAAAACCCCCAAAAAAAAUCCCCAAAAAAAUUAAAAAUCAAAUCUUUAUUCCCAAACUUCGAUUUCUCGUCGGAUUUCGAUCCACAGAAACCAUCGCCGCCGUCAAACACAGCUAAUUGUGACUGUAAUCCAAUAAUCCGAUUUAGGAAGAAAGAACCCAAAAGAAGAUAUAAAAAAAAAAAAUUAGGGUUAAUUUCAAGUAGAAGAUGUUAGAUCCGUGAUUGAUGAAUACCCCCAAUAAGUUUUUUUUGUUUCCAAAUCGAAUCGGUGCUUAUAUCUGUGGUGCUGAGAGAGCUAGCUAGGUUUUUUUGUUUUUUGUUUUUUCUUUUUUUGGUGAUGAUGAAUUGAUGAUGAUGAAGAACAGAGAAGUCGUCAAGAGAAGAAA